rnacentral:rRNA from 1 species
CCAAUAGCGUAUAUUAAAGUUGUUGCAGUUAAAAAGCUCGUAGUUGAAUUUCGGGGUUAGUAGGUUGGUCAUGCCUCUGGUAUGUACUGGUCUCACUGAUUCCUCCUUCCUGAUGAACCUUAAUGCCAUUAAUUUGGUGUUUUGGGGAAUUUGGACUGUUACUUUGAAAAAAUUAGAGUGUUUAAAGCAAGCUAACGCUUGAAUACAUUAGCAUGGAAUAAUGAAAUAGGACGUUCGAUCCUAUUUUGUUGGUUUCUAGGAUUGACGUAAUGAUUAAUAGGGAUAGUUGGGGGCAUUAGUAUUCAAUCGUCAGAGGUGAAAUUCUUGGAUUUAUUGAAGACUAACUACUGCGAAAGCAUUUGCCAAGGAUGUUUUCAUUAAUCAAGAACGAAAGUUAGGGGAUCGAAGACGAUCAGAUACCGUCGUAGUCUUAACCAUAAACUAUGCCGACUAGGGAUCGGAUGAUGUUAAUUUUUUAAUGACUCAUUCGGCGCCUUACG